AUAUUUCAUUUGGAAUGAGCCUCUGAGCCUCAGUUUUGUCCUGAAGAAGACGCAGUCAGCUUUAAACAGGGACCUGUGAGAUACACAGACACAGUGAAUCAGGAGCCAUGAUGAUGGAGGUCGUUUAUGUUGCUGUGGCUGCGCUCAGUCUUCUGUCUGUGGGACAGUCGGCUCCUGUGAUGAGCUGUGAGACUCUAAUCCAACCUCUUGUGAUCCCGGGCAGAGACCAGCUGCUGGGGAAAUGGGUAUUUGUAGCAGAAAGCACAACCAUUCCAGGGUCCAGGUUGCUGACCAAUCUUCUUGCUGACAGCGCAUGGAGCAAAAUGACGGCUGCCAACGAGAUUGAUGCCAUGGAUCUUUAUCAAGUUCAAAAAAUCAUUGGCCGAUGCUACUCUCUAAAAACUGAGCUGACCUUGCAUAACAGCACUCUGACUAUGGAGCAUCCUUACCCUGCUGCUGUCAUCCUGCUGAGCACUGGCUGUUCCGACUGCCUUGUUUUAUACUCAAGAAUCACCCUUGGAAGCGCAUUCAGCGGCCUGCAGCUCCUGAGCAGGAGAAGGGGAGUGUCUGUUGCUGAGAAGCAGGAGUUUCUCAAGCAGGUAGAGUGUCUGAAUUUACCAGCACCUGCUUUCCUGGACCCAGAGAAAGGUUUGUGUCCAGAUGAUUCUCUCUCCCUAGAAAGCGAGACCACUGAUAUGAUGAGUGCCGUCAAUGACAUGACGUCUAAGUGGUCUAGCAUGCUUGCCAACAUUACAAGCGCGGGUGGAUUGGACACCCUGAUCAAACUGUUCUCCAAGUGAAGAGCAUGAUUCAAAUAAAAUCAACUAAUCACAACAUAAUGAAAACACAGAGUCUUUGUGAAGACAAGUCUUCUAAUAAAAGAAUAAUCCCCUGAGUGUGACCCAUACAAUCAACCAGAGCUGAGUGACCUUCAUCUUUCCUGGCAACACACAAUCUCACAGUGUCAGUCAGUGUCUGGGUGGUUUUGAUAAAUCAAGAGGUGGACUGAGUGGGAGAUGUUUAAUCCAUAUCUUCCUUCUGCCUUUUCUCCCACUUGAUGGUAAGAGAUUGUAUGUUGAAUAAAACUGAGAUGUGCUAUA